UUUACCGUGAAAAAAUUAGAGUGUUCAAAGCAGGCAGAUCCAAUUUUCUGCCACCGAAUACAUUAGCAUGGGAUAAUGGAAUAGGACCCUGUCCUCCUAUUUUCAGUUGGUUUUGGCAGCGCGAGGACUAGGGUAAUGAUUAAUAGGGAUAGUUGGGGGCAUUAAUAUUUAAUUGUCAGAGGUGAAAUUCUUGGAUUUAUGAAAGAUUAACUUCUGCGAAAGCAUCUGCCAAGGAUGUUUUCAUUAAUCAAGAACGAAAGUUAGGGGAUCGAAGACGAUCAGAUACCGUCGUAGUCUUAACCAUAAACGAUGCCGACCAGCGAUUAGGAGACGUUGAAUACAAAACACCACCAUCGGUUGCGGUCGUCCUUGGCGUCUCGGUUUCGGCCGGGGCGCGGGGA
rnacentral:rRNA from 1 species